GAUGAACGCUGGCGGCGUGCCUAAUACAUGCAAGUCGAGCGAACAGACGAGGAGCUUGCUCCUCUGACGUUAGCGGCGGACGGGUGAGUAACACGUGGAUAACCUACCUAUAAGACUGGGAUAACUUCGGGAAACCGGAGCUAAUACCGGAUAAUAUAUUGAACCGCAUGGUUCAAUAGUGAAAGACGGUUUUGCUGUCACUUAUAGAUGGAUCCGCGCCGCAUUAGCUAGUUGGUAAGGUAACGGGUUACCAAGGCAACGAUGCGUAGCCGACCUGAGAGGGGGACCGGCCCCACUGGAACUGGGACACGGUCCAGACGCCUACGGGAGGCAGCAGUAGGGAAUCUUCCGCAAUGGGCGAAAGCUUGACGGAGCAACGCCGCGUGAGUGAUGAAGGUCUUCGGAUCGUAAAACUCUGUUAUUAGGGAAGAACAAAUGUGUAAGUAACUAUGCACGUCUUGACGGUACCUAAUCAGAAAGCCACGGCUAACUACGUG
rnacentral:rRNA from 1 species